UCCUCUGCAAAAAAGAAAAAAGAUUAAAAAAAUUUAAUAAGAAAAAAUCUCGGCGAACAGAGCUUUCACGGUGAUUUCAGAGGCGGCAGAGUGGGGAAGAAGCAGCACAGCAAGGAUAGGAUGUUCAUCGCACCCCCUUUUAACAAUUCAGGCUUUCAUUUACUCCGUUUGAAUAUCCGGUGUGCACAACUGAUGGGAGUAUAUGAUAAAUUGGGUUUGAAAAUUUACUAGAACAUAAUCCCGUGCAAAUUGGGUGCAAAUUGUGAGUUACUUGUUUGUUGAGGGUCCUUAAAAAGGAGAACUCAAAGUUAUUAACUGCCUCUGCAGUGUUUCUUCCAGUUCACCCAAUGAUGGUUUCAGUUAUUCAGACUAGGAUGAUGGAGCUUACAAGGGAGCCAGAAGCACCAGACAGGGCAGUGGCUCAAUGGCAUCUCUGGAAGAGUGUAGUGGCAGAAUGGUGUGCCGCACUUGAAGAGAAGAUUGGGGGAUGUCGGCAAUGGUGGAAUAUGCGACAAAAGAGAGGAGCACACAGAUAAGCUUUUGGUGGUU